rnacentral:rRNA from 1 species
GACGAACGCUGGCGGCGUGCUUAACACAUGCAAGUCGAGCGGUAAGGCCCUUUCGGGGGUACGACGAGCGGCGAACGGGUAGAGUAACACGUGGGUGACCUGCCCUCAGCUCUGGGAGUAAGCCUGGGAAACUAGGGUCUAAUACUGGAUAUGACUCCACGGUGCAUGUCGUGGGGUGGAAAGCCUUGUGCGGCUGAGGAUGGGCCCGCGGCCUAUCAGCUUGUUGGUGGGGUGAGGCCUACCAAGGCGACGACGGGUAGCCGGCCUGAGAGGGCGACCGGCCACACUGGGACUGAGACACGGCCCAGACUCCUACGGGAGGCAGCAGUGGGGAAUCUUGCGCAAUGGGCGAAAGCCUGACGCAGCGACGCCGCGUGAGGGAUGA